rnacentral:rRNA from 1 species
UUAGGAAUAUUGGGCAAUGGAGGAAACUCUGACCCAGCAACGCCGCGUGAAGGAAGAAGGUUUUCGGAUUGUAAACUUCUGAUCUAAGGGACGAAGAAAGUGACGGUACCUUAGGAGAAAGCCACGGCUAACUACGUGCCAGCAGCCGCGGUAAUACGUAGGUGGCGAGCGUUGUCCGGAAUAACUGGGCGUAAAGGGAGCGUAGGUGGUGAUUUAAGUUAGGUGUGAAAGCCCAAGGCUCAACUUUGGAAUUGCACUUAAAACUGGGUUACUAGAGUACAGGAGGGGUAAACGGAAUUUCUAGUGUAGCGGUGAAAUGCGUAGAUAUUAGGAAGAACACCGGAGGCGAAGGCGGUUUACUGGACUGCAACUGACACUGAGGCUCGAAAGCGUGGGGAGCAAACAGG